rnacentral:rRNA from 1 species
AGAACGAACGCUGGCGGCAUGCCUAAUACAUGCAAGUCGAACGAACUCUUCGGAGUUAGUGGCGCACGGGUGCGUAACGCGUGGGAAUCUGCCCUUGGGUUCGGAAUAACAGUUGGAAACGACUGCUAAUACCGGAUGAUGACGAAAGUCCAAAGAUUUAUCGCCCAGGGAUGAGCCCGCGUAGGAUUAGCUAGUUGGUGAGGUAAAGGCUCACCAAGGCGACGAUCCUUAGCUGGUCUGAGAGGAUGAUCAGCCACACUGGGACUGAGACACGGCCCAGACCUCCUACGGGAGGCAGCAGUAGGGAAUAUGGACAAGUGGGACGAAAGCCUGACUCCAGACAAUGCCGCGUGAGUGAGUGAAGGUACCGUUAGGGUUAGUAAAGUCGUUACUUUACCCGAG